UCAGCUGGCCAACCGCGUGGUGUGGAGCGGGCGCACAGCAGUGAGGGGUUUCCUGAGCACAUGAGGGUUCCUCUGGGAGUAACCACCACAACUCCCAGCCUCCUCUGAGCCUCUGUGGACCGGGCGUGGUUCACGCCAUUGUUUGGAACGCUGUGGCCUUACACAUGCUUUCUGCCAGCUCCACAGUGCAGGAGCCGCCAGGGGAGCCGUGGUUACUCACUUUAGCAGCAGAGCAGGGAAGACGCACCUCAUACUACUCUCCAGGCAGCCCAGGCUCUGCUUGCCCAGUGACGGGAGACCCCUGGGGGCACCUGCCUGGAGCCCCACAGUGGGCCACCGGCUACACGUUCCUGUGUCCCCAGCGUGUGGGGGAUUAUUCCACAAGUACUGUGUCUAAUGUGAGUUAUGUGAUGGUGACAACGAGGCUCUGAAGAGUGGACGGCUUCCCGCGUGCCAGCCGUGCCAGUGUCAGGCCUGCACAGCGCUGUCCUGAGCCCAGGACACGCCCCAAAUGAGGACCAGCCUGGACACGAAGGCAGCUGCCCACCACAGCCCAUCACCACCCUCGGCUUCUGUUGACUUCUGACUGCUGAGAGGACAAACCUGUCUUUCUGGUUGACCUCGGCGAGGACACACGGAGAGGCACAGCCCUGCCCCAUACGUGGUUCAUAUACUCAGCACCUCGUGAUGAAUUACUUUUCUUCCGUGGCUUCAACAUCCUUUCUGCAAUGACACCACUGUCAGCAUCUGUUCAGGCCUAUGCCCGGCACCAUCAAAGGACAUCUGCAAAGGCUCAGCACAGGGCCUGGCACUUUGGGCACCAGCUAGUAACCACAAGAAGUCUUCCCGGCCCAGCCCUGGCUAGCAGACUCUUCUCUGCCCCAACUCCGGGACCUUGUCCAUCCCCUAGUGUGAGCAGGGUCUAUCCCCUACCUGCCCAUACAGUCCGGCUCAGAUGCGCCUGGUACCUGCCUGAGUCUGGCACAGAGCUCACGGCGUGGAAGAAGUUCCAGGAUGCUGGUCGGUGGAUCCCCAGAGCCCUCACUCCUCCCCACUGCUGGAUCCAGCUCCUCCUCUCAUCAGAGGCAGUAGGGCCCUUGGACAGAAGGAAAUAGUCCUCUUUGAAUAAUUGACCUUCCCCCCACUUUUGCCCUGAGGGAGCGAGUGUUUUUACACCCCCUAAACUUUUGGAGAACCUGCCAUCACCAGCUGCUGGGGGGACAUCCUGGGAACAAACCUCAGGGCCUGGCCUCAUUAGGAAAAUGAGCAGUCUGAGGUGUCCCUGAGACGGGGACUGGGCAGAGACCCCUGGCCCUCGUUCCCCAGGGGAAGUAGGAAUCAUGUCUGCACAGCCCUCCAGGCCCCUGCCAGAGGAGCCUUUUCUAAUUCCUUGGGAAAUGCUCCUCCUUCCAGGUCUCCUGCCCACAGUGUCUCCAUUUUCCUGUCUGGUCACAGUCACAAACAGCAGCCAAAUUCCCAUGUCCCCACCGUCUGCUGUGCUCCUCCCCUCUCAGGACCAUGUGCACGUGUGGUGGCCUGAGUGUGAAGUAGAGUGGUCCCCACCAAUGACUGAGUCCUGCAGGUAACGGUGACACGGGGGUCUGAGGGGCGUUUUGCUAUGUGUUUGCAUUUCUCUGCAUCCCUCCAUUUGGGAGCAGGGAUCUGGGGAGCAGGAGGGGUCAGUUUUCUUUGCAGAAGAUCUUAGGGAACACGCUGACUCAGGCUUUGAGGACCUGUCGCCACUCUCAGCCAUGUGUGGCUUCUGUUCCUGGCCUUCCUGGGGUUUCCUUCCCAGGACACUGAGGAGCACAUGGGUGAGAAAGCCCUGGGCUCCGACCAGCUCCACCCCGGACCGCUCAGGGAGGGGCUCCUCCUGUGCGGAUUUUCUUGGUGAAUGAUAGCAGAUGGGCAGCGGGGCAGGGUCUUGAAUACUGGGUAAGAAGUCUGGCUUCACCCUGAGGACCAAGUGCCCUUUGCAGCCAGCUCAUCCCACCAAGGGCCCAGGAAACCCAGCGGCUCCAACACCUUCAGGCAGCGAUGCACCUUGAGAUUCGUAGAUAGAGCUGGGACCAGAAGGAAAAUGUCUGAGAGCUUCAAGGAUGCUUCUGAGCCAGGCCCUCGUCCUACAUCUGAGCAGUUCACAUGCAACCAUUCUCUGGCUAUGAUGACCUUAGUUCGGCACCCGAAUGCCACAGAAUGUGGCCAGGGCAGGACUCAGCAUUUGGCUGUGGGGGUACAACUUUAGAAGCAGUGGGGGGGCUCUGUGGCCACUCCUCUUCCCCUCCUAGGAGGUGGCACCACGGGGUAGUGAUGACAAGCAUCCGACACACAGGUGGGAAUCCCAGCUCUACCCUUCACGGGUGCUCCCCUCCAUGCAUUUCUUAAUUUCCCAGGGCCUCCCUUCCCUCAUUCUAUGACUAAGAAUCACAGGCCAUCUUCCACAUAGAGACCAUCUGAGGACUUAACGCAGUAACAUUCGCCAAACACUCAGGACUGCAGUUGGCAUGUUGGUAAGACCACAGUAAAAUUAGCUAUUAUGAUGA